GUAGUUUGAUCCUGGCUCAGAACGAACGCUGGCGGCAGGCUUAACACAUGCAAGUCGAGCGCCCCGCAAGGGGAGCGGCAGACGGGUGAGUAACGCGUGGGAAUCUACCCAUCUCUACGGAACAACUCCGGGAAACUGGAGCUAAUACCGUAUACGUCCUUCGGGAGAAAGAUUUAUCGGAGAUGGAUGAGCCCGCGUUGGAUUAGCUAGUUGGUGGGGUAAUGGCCUACCAAGGCGACGAUCCAUAGCUGGUCUGAGAGGAUGAUCAGCCACACUGGGACUGAGACACGGCCCAGACUCCUACGGGAGGCAGCAGUGGGGAAUAUUGGACAAUGGGCGCAAGCCUGAUCCAGCCAUGCCGCGUGAGUGAUGAAGGCCCUAGGGUUGUAAAGCUCUUUCUAGACGGUGAAAAUAAUGACGGUUACCGAAUGAAGAAGCCCCGGA
rnacentral:rRNA from 2 species